AACGUAUUGUAACGUAUUGGCGGCAUCGGUUUUUUAUUACUGCAGUAAUUUAAUCCAAUUAAAUAAUCACACGUGAAACUAAUAAAAUUUUAUCAAACAAUUUUGUUCACGACAUUAGAGUUCUUGUUCGCCGAAUGUAAUUUUAGCGGUCGCAGUAAUGUGAUCUUGUCUUACGUUCUUUUGAAUAUUCGUUUUCGGUAUUAGAGUCAGUGCAUCUUUCAAGAGGACAAAGCUUCUGCAGGAGUUCAAGAAUACAUAUCACUGCUUCAACUUCUUCAUCUUCUUUAGGAAUGUUCUAACAGUGGUUCACAAGCCAAAUGUAUUAGUGUUAUUCCAUUUCUACUAUUGUGAUACACCAUUUCUACUAUUGGCCUUUCAACGGUUCCUGUCUGAUGUUAGUCUUUCGGAUGAUAUUUGCUGGGAUAGCGCAGCAUCCACGGUAACGUCCCCUGUUUCUCUGCUUCGAACGGUGAGUCGCAUGCAUUUCUGUUCCUCCAGCCACUCGAUCAUGUCGUAGGACGAAAGGUCCGAAUCGGCACGGGUGACUGGUAUACUAUACUACCUUUAGUAUCUUUUAUACUACCUGUGAGUAGUAACGUUCUUUUUUCAAAUUUUUUAGUUUAGGAUAGGUCUUCUUGCACAGCGCGAUUAUGAUAAUUAAUUUUUUAAUAAUUAUGUUAAACAUAUACACUUGAGAAUAUAUUCGUGUUAUUUAUAAAUAUGCAUGUUAAUAUUCCGUAUGAAUAUUUGCAAAUGGCAAUAUCUACACGAAUAUACCUGUAUGACAUAAAUAUACUUUGUCGCUAUGCUCGCUUUGAAAAGGAUGGACGUAACGGGUUAAACGUAACGCACGAAAAACAAGUCUGUGUAGCACGGCUGAUCGGCCCUGACCGUUGGGAGCAUGCUAUUCCGCUUCAUAUCCGGUCAGUACCAUCAGCAUUGAUGCCUCCAAACUGGAUUUAUAUGCCAAGGGUUUUGGAUGGCGGCCAAAUUGGCUGCACCUGAUUCCGAUCGACGUACUUCGGGCAUUACGCUAUCUUAUGUGGCACUGGGGCUGGUCUCGUGUUACCUUGGACGACCAAAUUUGACCGUUUGAUUUUUUGAGAUCCGUGUAAUUCGAAUCAUCGUCAAAUUAUUGCAAAAUAGAGAUUGUAAGAGAAUAGUGAAAGUAAUACGAGACUUCGUUGGGCCAUUUAUGAAAUGUUAUUAUAACUGGUAAACGCCUGAUAAACAGGAAAUCGUUUAAAACGGGCCAGGCGCCGAUUCUCUUUUUACGGAUCUUUCCACGGAUAGUAAAUGCGUAACACGUUCGUUUAUACGUUUAAGCGAUCGAUCAGCGUAAUUUUUUGAGAUCCAUAAUUAAAUGGAGGCAAACGUUUACGUUGCUGCGAUAAUUAACAGCCGAUUCGUUGAUCCUUGAGAAAGCUGUAGCAAGUAGCAGCAUUAACUCCAAUGUCAAUCCAUGGGAUACUUGGUGAUGUUACGCUGCUAGUAGCUUGUUGCGCGUUUAUAAUGCUUGACGCGAUAUCCUACGUAGGAUCGUAUGCGUAAUAUAAUUAAUUAAGCGCAAGUUACCGAAACUUUUUAGACGUAAGUGGUACUCGAAAGCUUAUUGUCCUCUCCGAAUCGACGUGCUCGAAAUCUACGAGCGAAAUCAUUAGGGGAAUUGCAUAGAAUUGUUAAUCUCUGUAGUAGGAAACAGAUAUAAUACAUGUUUGAUUGGUAAGAUCGAUCGGUAAGAUGGGGAUGUUUAAUUUGAAGUGAUGUUAUAUUUCCUUAAGUGAAAAGGGUUUUUAUUCGUUUAAUAGAUAGAUAUUUUUUGUUUUUUUUUUUUGUUGGGGAUAUAUUUAUAUUUAAAAAUUUCGAGAUUUUAUUUAAUCGUAUUAUAGUAAAAAUAUACAAAAGAAAAUAUGGAAGAUAUAUGAAAUUUCCCCUUUUCAGUUUUCAAGUAUUUGUAUACACCGAAGUUUUUAUUUCGAUAAAUAUUUAUUUAUAUCUCGAUGCCACCAUACUUCAAUGCGAGUAUAAAUAUAGAAAAAAAUUGUAGUGGAGAAUGUAGUGGUUCGGUAGAGGAUCAAUAAUUUAUAAUGCGAGAAAUUGCUGCUGCCUGCAACCCGUUAUAUAUAUAAGGUUCAAUAAUGGGAUAA